rnacentral:rRNA from 1 species
UACAGAGGGGGCAAGCGUUAUUCGGAAUUAUUGGGCGUAAAGAGCGUGUAGGCGGCCAGGUAGGUCCGCUGUGAAAGUCCGAGGCUCAACCUCGGAAUGUCGGCGGAAACCCUCUGGCUAGAGUCCGGAAGAGGAGAGUGGAAUUCCCGGUGUAGCGGUGACAUGCGCAGAUAUCGGGAAGAACACCCGUGGCGAAGGCGGCUCUCUGGAACGGUACUGACGCUGAGACGCGAAAGCGUGGGGAGCGAACAGG